UAGCGGGAGGGAAUAACGGGAAUAACGAAUGAGGAAACAAGGCGUAAACAAUUCACCAUGGGCAAUUCAGACGAGCGAGCCGCAGGAGCUGUGGGACUUUUUGCUCUCCCUGCGAUGGCAUUAGUCCAGACCACGAGGUAUUUCCUGGAACAGAUCCUCCCUGUAAACGGGAGCUACAGCAAAGCUCAAGCCCUCAUCUAGAGACCCUUGGAAAAGCAAAGGUGAGGUGGGAUUACCUGGAGCCCCAGGGGACCGAGGUGAAGGGAACGGAGAAGCACACAGCAGACAGCUUCCACUGCUGCUCACUCCAGCGAGGGGAACAUCCCCGGAAUUUAAUGUCCAGAGUCUCUUCCAAGCCCCACAGUGGGAUGCAGGUGCCGUCCCCCAGAAGCGGGAAAACUGCCUGGAAAGCCGGGGACGCCGGGAGCCAGCACCCCAUUUCCCCCAGAUUUCCUGCUGACAAGCAUUUUAAGCCUGCUUUGCUUCACAGGUGCCUUUCUGCCAAGGGCACGCCCAGCUUUUUUUUUUUUUUUCCCCCCCAAAUAAAGGUUUGGAAAGCUGAGUUUCACGGGAACUAGA